rnacentral:rRNA from 1 species
GGGGGGGGGGGGGGGGGGGGGGGGGGGGGGCGGGGGGGGGGGGGGGGGUGGGUGCGUGCGGCGAGUUGGAGGGCAGCGGACGGGUGGGUGACGCGUGGGGGGUCGGCCGUGGAGCGGGGGGCAACAGUUGGAAACGAAUGCUAAUACCGCAUAACCACUUUAAACAUAAGUUUUAAGUUUGAAAGAUGCAAUUGCAUCACUCAAAGAUCAUCCCGCGUUGUAUUAGCUAGUUGGUGAGGUAACGGCUCACCAAGGCGCGGAUACAUAGCCGACCUGGGAGGGUGAUCGGCCACAUUGGGACUGAGACACGGCCCAAACUCCUACGGGAGGUAGCAGUAGGGAAUCUUCGGCAAUGGACGAAAGUCUGACCGAGCAACGCCGCGUGAGUGAAGAAGGUUUUCGGAUCGUAAUACUCUGUUGGUAGAGAAGAACGUUGGUGAGAGUGGAAAGCUCAUCAAGUGACGGUAACUACCCAGAAAGGGACGGCUAACUACGUG